rnacentral:rRNA from 1 species
GGGUUGUGAGGUUAAGCGACUAAGCGUACACGGUGGAUGCCCUGGCAGUCAGAGGCGAUGAAGGACGUGCUAAUCUGCGAUAAGCGUCGGUAAGGUGAUAUGAACCGUUAUAACCGGCGAUUUCCGAAUGGGGAAACCCAGUGUGAUUCGUCACACUAUCAUUAACUGAAUCCAUAGGUUAAUGAGGCGAACCGGGGGAACUGAAACAUCUAAGUACCCCGAGGAAAAGAAAUCAACCGAGAUUCCCCCAGUAGCGGCGAGCGAACGGGGAGGAGCCCAGAGCCUGAAUCAGUGUGUGUGUUAGUGGAAGCGUCUGGAAAGGCGCGCGAUACAGGGUGACAGCCCCGUACACAAAAAUGCACAUGCUGUGAGCUCGAUGAGUAGGGCGGGACACGUGGUAUCCUGUCUGAAUAUGGGGGGACCAUCCUCCAAGGCUAAAUACUCCUGACUGACCGAUAGUGAACCAGUACCGUGAGGGAAAGGCGAAAAGAACCCCGGCGAGGGGAGUGAAAAAGAACCUGAAACCGUGUACGUACAAGCAGUGGGAGCACGCUUAGGCGUGUGACUGCGUACCUUUUGUAUAAUGGGUCAGCGACUUAUAUUCUGUAGCAAGGUUAACCGAAUAGGGGAGCCGAAGGGAAACCGAGUCUUAACUGGGCGUUAAGUUGCAGGGUAUAGACCCGAAACCCGGUGAUCUAGCCAUGGGCAGGUUGAAGGUUGGGUAACACUAACUGGAGGACCGAACCGACUAAUGUUGAAAAAUUAGCGGAUGACUUGUGGCUGGGGGUGAAAGGCCAAUCAAACCGGGAGAUAGCUGGUUCUCCCCGAAAGCUAUUUAGGUAGCGCCUCGUGAAUUCAUCUCCGGGGGUAGAGCACUGUUUCGGCAAGGGGGUCAUCCCGACUUACCAACCCGAUGCAAACUGCGAAUACCGGAGAAUGUUAUCACGGGAGA